ACCUGUGUCAGUCAGUUGAAUGAAAUUAGGCUGAGGAAGAAAACAGAGGCUUUGAUCCAUAGCUUUUAGAGUCCAACUCAGAGAAAAGUGUUUUGGUUGGACAUUCCAGACAUACCUCCUACACAUUCUGGUUCAGGACCAUCGGGCUGCACAGGAGAGGUGUAGGUUUCAAGUUGCUAACAGAUGUCCUUAAAGAUAUCCCCAUCUUAUCUGGACUGUCUCAGCAUCGGAAAACCCAAACUGAGUAAUCUGCUGCAGCCUGAGCCCUCCUCUGCAGGGGUUUUAAAUUCCUGAAAUGAUUCACCAAUCAGGCCUAGAUCAAAUAACGAGAACAUAAAAUAGAAACCAGAGAGUUUACCCAAUUAGGCAGAAUCAGGCAGAACCAACCAUGGGAACCUUUAGUAAGGGACAUAUGACGUUUUGUGUUUGAUACUGCUGACAGUUUGCCAAGGUGUCCCCCCCCCCUAACAGAGUAAUGUUGGACCUGUUUUAAGACCACCUCAGCCAGUCACCCAUUCCAGUGCUGAUAACUGAUACAGCCUGGCAGGUGUCAUAACAACACGCCUCCACCCUCCCACCAGCAGGCUUAUUUAAGUGUGUCUGACAUGGACUGUCUGGUAAUGUCUUGCCAGUCCAAAAGUCAAGUUAUUAAUGAGCUAGAAUCUGAGCCUAUCAGGGGAAGUGUAGCACUGAGUUUGUGUUGAUAGUGUCGUAUUACCCAGAUCUACAGGAAGUGAUCUUUCUGUGUGGGUGUUGUGAAGCAGGGAUCCGAGCCAUGCUAUUUUCUCAGGUGUUAAACACAUUGCAGUCUAUGUAGAAAAGCAAACUUUUCAGAAGUAUGCUCAUCACCUCCUCCACCUCCUGAUGCCUUCUCUCUCAGAUGCGUAGGAGCCAUCCUCCUGUUGCGUGCUAGCAUGUUAGCGCUAAUGAGACCAGCUGUCCAAACGCUCAGCCGGUCAGCCAAAAGGGACCGCAGCCUUUGUUGGUGCAAGGUGUUACAUCUCCUGCAGGAACACACGCUUGUGUUUCAACAACACCGACCAUUUGGCACAGGAAGACUGUCUCCGCACCCCCCCAAAACACACACAACUAACUCUUUUCCUCAGUCCCUCUCCCGCUUAUAUUGUCCCGCUUGCUGCUGCUGCAGACACCAGUGAAUUGAUUUUGCUCUCUACAGCUUUAUACUUGAUCAUUUUUUCUCGCCACUGCUGGCGGGGACCGUUGCCUUUGUAAUCGCUGACCUCAGCUCCACACCUGAGUGGCUGUGGCCCUAAACAGCCUCUCCAACCCAUCCUAAAGUACCUUCUGUUACAAAAUGAAGUGUUGCACCCUGUUCGGGCUGCUGAAAAGACAAUACAUCACCUGGCAGUCACUCCUGGAGCAAAGAGGGUAGAGGGGGAAAAGAGGGUGGUGUAAGGCACCAAGAGAUGGAGAAUAGAGGAGGGUGGACAAGAGUCACAUGAUGCUAUGUAAAUAACCAGUCUAUGUGAGUGUCAUCCCUCCUCUGUGGCUCCCGGGUCUUCAGUUGUCCUAAGGAGAUGCAAAAUAAAUCUGAAACUGUCUAAAUAGCAGUAAAUGGUCAAGAGCUGCAGGGCCUUGGAAAGGUAUUCAUACCUUUUAAACUUUAAACCACAAACUUCAGUGUAUAUUAACAAGAUCCUGAACAUAGCAUUGUUAUGUGGAAUAAAAUGGACAAAUGGGCGCAAAAAUGCACAAAUAUGCUGUCAGCAGACUAUCCCACCUGAGCUGAGGAUCUCUGUAGCUCCUCCAGAGUUGUCAUGGGCCUGUUGGCUGCUUCUCUGACUCAUGCACUCCUUGGCAUGCCUGUGACCAAGGCUCUGUGAGAUGUUCAAAGCUCUGCAUCCUGUGUCAUAAUCUAACUCUGGGGUGGGCCCCUCAUAGAACAGCUGUGUAAAGACCAAGUUUAAAUUAUACACAGGUGUAAUUAUUGCUGAUAAAGUGACUUUUGAUUGAUUUUGUUCUGGGAUGCCAGAAGAGGCUGAAUUCAAAUGCACAUAUAACAUAUUUUUCGGAUUUGUAAAACAUUUUGUAAGCCCUUUAUGUUUUAUCUCUCACCUGAAUCUAUAACAGAA